rnacentral:lncRNA from 1 species
AACCGAAAACCUAAGCGGUUAGACGUACGUGCCAGGGUGACGGGUUACGGUUUUAUUGCGAGGAAAACAUGGAGACGUUAGAGAGAUGCCAGAAAAUUCGUAAGGACGUCAUGAUGGUACUAAUGAUCAAUCUGAGAGAUUCUUCUGCAAAUACGAAAUUUCUACAAAACUACUUGGAAGAUACAAAGUACUUACAGAUGUAUAAAGAAGAAUUUCACUGUGCACAACACUGAAGAUAUUAUUUUGCAAUGUUUAUAAAAGUAAAUUCUCUUCGUCCCUUUAUUAUGUUUAAAUAUAUGGUAGUUAGAAUUCAUGGGAAUUGUUGUAAUAGGU